UACAGAGGUCCCGAGCGUUGUUCGGAUUUAUUGGGCGUAAAGGGUGCGUAGGCGGCGGAGUAAGUUGGGUGUGAAAUCCCGGGGCUCAACCUCGGAAUUGCAUUCAAUACUGCUUCGCUCGAGUACUGGAGAGGAGGCUGGAAUUUACGGUGUAGCAGUGAAAUGCGUAGAUAUCGUAAGGAAGGCCGGUGGCGAAAGCGAGCCUCUGGACAGUUACUGACGCUCAUGCACGAAGGCCAGGGGAGCAAACGGG
rnacentral:rRNA from 1 species